rnacentral:rRNA from 1 species
GCAAGUCAAGGACAAACAGAACUUCGGUUUUGUGGACACUGGCGCACGGGUGAGUAACGCGUAGGCAAUCUACCUUUAUCACUGACAUAACAGGCCUAACGGCCUGCUAAUGGCAGAUACACAAUAGGAUGGCAUCUUCUGAUUGUGAAAGGGGCAACCUGGAUAAAGACGAGCCUGCGUCCCAUUAGGUAGUUGGCGAGGUAACGGCCCACCAAGCCGGCGAUGGGUAGCUGGUCUGAGAGGAUGAUC